rnacentral:rRNA from 1 species
GUGGGGAAUAUUGCACAAUGGAGGAAACUCUGAUGCAGCGACGCCGCGUGAGUGAAGAAGUAGUUCGCUAUGUAAAGCUCUAUCAGCAGGGAAGAUAGUGACGGUACCUGACUAAGAAGCUCCGGCUAAAUACGUGCCAGCAGCCGCGGUAAUACGUAUGGAGCAAGCGUUAUCCGGAUUUACUGGGUGUAAAGGGAGUGUAGGUGGCCAUGCAAGUCAGAAGUGAAAAUCCGGGGCUCAACCCCGGAACUGCUUUUGAAACUGUAAGGCUAGAGUGCAGGAGGGGUGAGUGGAAUUCCUAGUGUAGCGGUGAAAUGCGUAGAUAUUAGGAGGAACACCAGUGGCGAAGGCGGCUCACUGGACUGUAACUGACACUGAGGCUCGAAAGCGUGGGGAGCAAACAGGAUUAGAAACCCUAGUAGUCC